rnacentral:rRNA from 1 species
AUACGGAGGAUGCAAGCGUUAUCCGGAUUUACUAGGUUUAAAGGGUGCGCAGGCGGAAUGGUAAGUCAGUGGUGAAAGCUCCCCGCUUAACGGGGAAAUUGCCAUUGAAACUGUCAUUCUUGAGUGUAGUUGAGGUGGUUGGAAUGUGUUGUGUAGCGGUGAAAUGCGUAGAUAUAACACAGAACGCCAAUUGCGAAGGCAGAUCACUAAACUACUACUGACGCUGAGGCACGAAAGCGUGGGGAGCGAACAGGAUUAGAAACCCCGGUAGUCC